UUGAUUCAUUCGCCCACCGCUGUCGCGGGGAGAAGAGUCCACUCAGAGGGGUGCCACCUGUCAAUGCAGUAGGAAGAGUUUCCUCCGGGGGUCCUGCGGCGGGCGCCUUGGUGUCCGGGGCGCCGCGCUGGGGCGGCGCCGCCGGGGCGAGUCCUCGCCGAGGCAACGUUGAGGUUAAGGUUCACAUGGGGGUUUGGGAGUUUGUAAACUCGGUAAUGAUCCCUCCGCUGGUUCACCAACGGAGA
rnacentral:misc_RNA from 1 species